rnacentral:lncRNA from 1 species
CCUCAUAUCUUCUUGAAAUCAGUCUUCUUAUCCGUAAUCCGAUCUACAACUCGAGCUUUGCCUUUUUCCUCUUCCUUACCAUCAGUCUGAUCUAUAACUCGAGCUUUGCCUUUUCCCUCUUUCUCAUCAGUCUUUUCCUUUUUCCGUUCCCCACCAACUUCCUCACCAGCUCUCUCUUUUCCUUUAACAACGAAGGACUUGAUGGAGA